rnacentral:rRNA from 1 species
AUUGAACGCUGGCGGCAGGCCUAACACAUGCAAGUCGAGCGGAUGAAGGGAGCUUGCUCCUGGAUUCAGCGGCGGACGGGUGAGUAAUGCCUAGGAAUCUGCCUCGUAGUGGGGGAUAACGUCCGGAAACGGGCGCUAAUACCGCCUACGUCCUGAGGGAGAAAGUGGGGGAUCUUCGGACAUCACGCUAUCAGAUGAACCUAGGUGGGAUUAGCUAGUUGGUGGGGUAAUGGCCUGCCUAGGCGACGAUUGGUAACUGGUCUGAGAGGAUGAUCACUCACACUAGAGCGGAGACGCGGUCCAGGCUCCUGCGGGAGGGAGCAGUGGGGAAUAUUGGGCAAUGGGCGAAAGCCUGGUCCAGCCAUGCCGCGUGUGUGAAGAAGGUCUUCGGAUUGGAAAGCACUUUAAGUGGGGGGGAAGGGCAGUAAGUUAAUACCUUGCUGUAUUGACGUUACCAACAGAAUAAGCACCGGCUAACUUCGUG